UUGUGCCCGUAAUUACUAGUGGAUUCUAGUUCAUCUCAUAUGGCUUUUGACGCUUGACGGAGCCUCUUCCUAUUCUGUUCACGCUUCCCGCAUCAUUUAGUAUCAGAGCGGGUAUCGCCCGCUCCUUAGUAGACGACGAUCUAAGGAAGAAGUUCACCACCACCAACCUCAACGACGCUGGUCAUAGCACUACAAAAAAGAAUUGUUUUGGCUUCAGAAGUUUGCGUCAGCAAACCUUUGCCGUCGCCAAUGACCGCUCUAUUGCGUCGGCAAAAUUUUGCCGUCGCAACAAUAUAUUGAGUUUGCAACGGUGACGAUGUGUCGUCGCACUGGGGGUCGCCAAACUAUCUUCUUUUACAUCGGCAAAAUAUAGCCGUCGUAAGGAAUUGAAAUUUCGCGACUGCAUCAGCUCUGCCGUCGCGUUAGGUUCUAAAUUUGUGACGGAGGCUGCUGUUCCAAGUCACAUUUCUUUUUAUCGAGAGGAAAAAUAGUCUUUGAACUUCCCCUCUCUUCGAUAAAAAAAAGCCCUUACUCCCUCUUUCUUCUCUCGUGUGCAUUUCGAUCUGACCCAUUCCUGCUCCAUUCUGUUUAGAUUUUCCCCUUCAUCUCUUUGUUUGUCAUCUCUCUCGAUCUGACCAGUUCGCCGCUGAAUCUGCAAGCGCCUUUCUUGGGUAAGGUCAGAAUUUCUUCACCAUAUUUCUAUCAAAUCCGGCCACUUCACCAGUAGAUCUACCAACCAGAAUGUUUCUAUUAACUUCCUAUGUAAACCCAGCAAAAGAUCGAGGGAAGAAGAAAGGAAAAGGUGAGAUCUGAUUACAUCUGAUCAACUGGAUUUUAUUAUUUUUACUUCUGAUUUGUUUGGGUGACUGUGAAUAUCGACGCGGCGACGACGAAUCACGUGAGCGGGAAGGCCGGAAUCGCUGACCGGACUAGGCUUUAGGUACUUCAAAGGCUGGUGGACCAAUUCCCUCCUUUAAAAGCAUUUCAUUUUGUCCUUGACGACACUGAUGAGUGAACGACUAGACACUGACCUUUUGACAUUAAAAACCUUUUUUGACAAAAAGAUUCAACAACUGCAACUCCAGACCAUCCUCCUUCUGAGAGGGAAAGAGUCAUCGAAACAAGUAGAAGAGAAUUAUUCAUCUCUGAACCAGACAAAAAAGCCAAGAGGUACUUACAACUUUUGAAGACUUGGGGAUAUGGGUGGAUGUCUUUGCUACUAGUGAAGUCAGCAUUUGCUUGAGGUUGGACCCAUCAAAACUUUGGAGCAGAUAGCUUAUUCAGCAGGCAAGCGGAUGAUAUCAUGCUCUAUGUUGCUGCUUGGAACUUGACCAUGUUGUGGAAGAACUGGAGAAAAUUGCUGUUGUCAAUCUUCUUCAGCACCGAUCAAUAAUAUCUCUCAUUGGAGAUGUGCAGAAAUCAUCACUAAUAUUAGAGAAGGUGUUGUACUGUGUUUUGCCAAGUACUUAGAAAGCAUUCCUUGUUGUCUUUUGUUUUCUGAUUGAUGACAAGUGGUGUUCAAUUGAUCAAAGAGGUUUAUCAGCUAUAUAUGUAUUUUAAUCUGGUAUUCA